GAAUCACGGGAGUCACGGGAGUCGCGGGAAUCACUCUUGUCACGGCUAUCGUGGGCAUCCUUUUCCUUCCUAGACUCCUUCACCACCUGAAAAGCAGAGGCAGAUAAAUCAAAUUAAAACUUCCUGUAGGUGGCGAUCUCAAUGUCCAGCGCCAUCUUGACAUUGAGCAGGUCCUGGUACUCCCUCAGAUGACGGGACAUCUCGUCCUUCAGGUGGCGGAUCUCCUCCUCCAGACGAGCCACGUUGUCCUGGUAGUUGCCAGCCUCCACGCCAAACUGAUCCUCCAUUUGGCGCAUCUGCCUCAGAAGAGCCUCAUUCUGCAGGAACAGACGUCAACGAGCCGAAGACAGAAAGGAUUGGGGGAGAGGUUGGAAACACAAGGAGAGAAGGACAGUGGGCAGACAGAUGGCAGAACAGGAGAGUUGAGAGGGGGAGUGAAAUAGUGAUGACCCCCACCGUGCUCUUCAGAGCCUCGACCUCACAGCUGAGGGCCUGGAUCUGCCGGCGAUACUCGUUGGACUCCUGCUUGGCCUGCCUCAUGGCAUCAUUAUUACGCUUAGCCGACUC